rnacentral:rRNA from 1 species
UGGGGAAUAUUGCACAAUGGGCGGAAGCCUGAUGCAGCGACGCCGCGUGGGGGAUGAAGGCCUUCGGGUUGUAAACUCCUUUCGACAGGGACGAAGCUUUUGUGACGGUACCUGUAUAAGAAGCACCGGCUAACUACGUGCCAGCAGCCGCGGUAAUACGUAGGGUGCGAGCGUUGUCCGGAAUUACUGGGCGUAAAGAGCUCGUAGGUGGUUUGUCGCGUCGUCUGUGAAAUUCCGGGGCUUAACUCCGGGCGUGCAGGCGAUACGGGCGGACUUGAGUGCUGUAGGGGAGACUGGAAUUCCUGGUGUAGCGGUGAAAUGCGCAGAUAUCAGGAGGAACACCGAUGGCGAAGGCAGGUCUCUGGGCAGUAACUGACGCUGAGGAGCGAAAGCAUGGGUAGCGAACAGG